rnacentral:rRNA from 1 species
CCUACGGGAGGCAGCAGUGAGGAAUAUUGGUCAAUGGGCGCUAGCCUGAACCAGCCAAGUAGCGUGAAGGAUGACUGCCCUAUGGGUUGUAAACUUCUUUUAUCUGGGAAUAAAGUGCAGUAUGUAUACUGCUUUGCAUGUUCCUUGUGAAUAAGGCUCGGCUAAAUCCGGUCCCGCCGCCGCGGUUAUACGGAGGGUUCGAGCGUUAUUCGGAUUUUUUUGGUUUAAAGGGGGCGGUGGGGGGUUGUUAAGUCAGUUGGGAAAGUUUGGGGCUCAACCGGCAAACUGCCGUUGAUACUGGCACUCUUGAGUAGAGGAGAGGUAGGCGGAAUUCGUGGUGUAGCGGUGAAAUGCUUAGAUAUCACGAAGAACCCCGAUUGCGAAGGCAGCCUGCCGGAUUCUAACUGACGCUGAUGCACGAAAGCGUGGGGAUCAAACAGGAUUAGAUACCUUUGUAGUC